rnacentral:lncRNA from 1 species
GUGCUUUGACAGUAAUGUUCACCAACCUUUUCCAGCUCUGAUUCCAUGUAGAUAUAGGUACAGGUCAAAAGCAAACAUCUUGACCCCAUUCUUGUCUCCCUUUAUUCCUAAGAUAUGAUUGUGCAGCCCUUAUAUGAAGACCUAGACCGAAAGAAAUCAGAAUGUGAGGCCUGAGAAGACUUUCCCAAGGUUGGCUAUAUGAGGGGUGGGCGCUGCCUGUCUCAGGAGACGUCCUUGGUACCAGCAUCUUUUUCUUCAGACCUGCCAUCUGUUCCAGUGAAUAAUUCUACCAACCACGUUUUCCAUGAUUUGCCUCAUUAUGUCUCCACGUCCUUUACACAGUAUGUGAUUUUUAUGGAGUUGGUGUUUCUUGGGGAGGAGAGUGGAAAGGAAUGAGGGGGUUUGCAAAGAUAAUGACUGAGCUUUGCCUAAAGAUGUUCCAAAUCACCCACUUAUAAAUU